GACGAACGCUGGCGGCGUGCUUAACACAUGCAAGUCGAACGGUGAAGCGCCUUCCUUUUUGGUGGGUGUGGAUGAGUGGCGAACGGGUGAGUAACACGUGAGUAACCUGCCCCCUUCUUCUGGAUAACCGCAUGAAAGUGUGGCUAAUACGGGAUAUUCUGGGUCUGUCGCAUGAUGGGUCUGGGAAAGAUAUUGUUUCGGUGGGGGAUGGGCUCGCGGCCUAUCAGCUUGUUGGUGGGGUGAUGGCCUACCAAGGCGGUGACGGGUAGCCGGCCUGAGAGGGUGGACGGUCACACUGGGACUGAGACACGGCCCAGACUCCUACGGGAGGCAGCAGUGGGGAAUAUGGCACAAUGGGCGCAAGCCUGAUGCAGCGACGCCGCGUGAGGGAUGGAGGCCUUCGGGUUGUGAACCUCUUUCGCCAGUGAAGCAGGCCUGCCUCGUAUGUGGGUGGGUUGACGGUAGCUGGAGAAGAAGCGCCGGCUAACUACGUG
rnacentral:rRNA from 1 species